UAGGGAAUCUUCGGCAAUGGGGGCAACCCUGACCGAGCAACGCCGCGUGAGUGAAGAAGGUUUUCGGAUCGUAAAGCUCUGUUGUAAGAGAAGAACGUGUGUGAGAGUGGAAAGUUCACACAGUGACGGUAACUUACCAGAAAGGGACGGCUAACUACGUGCCAGCAGCCGCGGUAAUACGUAGGUCCCGAGCGUUGUCCGGAUUUAUUGGGCGUAAAGCGAGCGCAGGCGGUGUAAUAAGUCUGGAGUGACAGGCAGUGGCGUUAACAUUGUUGGCGUUGGAAACUGUUAAACUUGAGUGCGGAAGGGAGGAGUGGAAUUCCAUGUGUAGCGGUGAAAUGCGUAGAUAUAUGGCGGAACACCGGUGGCGAAAGCGGGUCUCUGGUCUGUAACUGACGCUGAGGGUCGAGAGCGUGGGGAGCAAACAGG
rnacentral:rRNA from 1 species